rnacentral:rRNA from 1 species
UGAGGAAUAUUGGUCAAUGGGCGAGAGCCUGAACCAGCCAAGUAGCGUGCAGGACGACGGCCCUAUGGGUUGUAAACUGCUUUUAUAAGGGAAUAAAGUGAGUCUCGUGAGACUUUUUGCAUGUACCUUAUGAAUAAGGACCGGCUAAUUCCGUGCCAGCAGCCGCGGUAAUACGGAAGGUCCGGGCGUUAUCCGGAUUUAUUGGGUUUAAAGGGAGCGUAGGCCGGAGAUUAAGCGUGUUGUGAAAUGUAGACGCUCAACGUCUGCACUGCAGCGCGAACUGGUUUCCUUGAGUACGCACAAAGUGGGCGGAAUUCGUCGUGUAGCGGUGAAAUGCUUAGAUAUGACGAAGAACUCCGAUUGCGAAGGCAGCUUGCAGUAGCGUAACUGACGCUGAAGCUCGAAAGUGCGGGUAUCGAACAGGAUUAGAUACCCUGGUAGU